GUGCUGAAUACAAGAAGAAAAAAGUAUUUUUGCUGCUGCCGUUGGUGACCGACGUCGAAGAAUCAUAUUUUUCUUCUGAUUAGCAAAUAAAAAUAUAAAAUUAAAUACAACUUUAUAGAUUAUAUUAAAUAUAAACUAUAUUAAAUAAAUCUACACAAAAUGGGACGUAAAAAGAAGAAGGCAUCGAAACCCUGGUGCUGGUAUUGCAAUCGUGAGUUUGAUGAUGAGAAAAUUUUGGUUCAACAUCAAAAAGCAAAACACUUUAAAUGUCAUAUAUGCCACAAAAAACUGUAUACAGGUCCCGGCUUAUCCAUACAUUGCAUGCAGGUGCACAAGGAGACCGUAGACAAAGUGCCAAAUUCAUUGCCAAAUCGUUCAAAUAUUGAAAUUGAAAUAUUUGGUAUGGACGGUAUACCCGCUGAUGAUGUGCGUGAGCAUGAAAGACAAAAGAAUGGCGGUAAAUCCGAUUCGGAUGAUGAUGAACCUCAAGCAAAGAAAAAAGUUGAAAUACCACUUACGGCUCCACCUCCUCCUAUGAUGAUGCCCCCUAAUAUGAUCCCUCCACAUAUGAUGGGUCAGUAUGCUCAAUACGGCAUGAUGCCGCAUAUGGCAAUGCCACCAUUUAUGGGACCUGGUGGUAUACACAUGAUGCCUCCGCAUAUGAUGCCACCACGACCACUAUUUCCCGCAGCCAUGGCAACUACCUCGGCGGCUGCAGCAGCAGCGGCUCAUGUGGCAGCUUCUGCGCAUGCAGCUGCCGCUCAGCAAAAACCAACGUUCCCUGCAUACAGCAAUGCUACCAUAAGUGCACCACCCACAACAAAUAAUCCAAAUGCAGCUGCUCCUUCAUCUACCACCGCCUCAGCAGCAGGCACAUCAUCUACAACGUCAGAUGCCACCAGUACCACAAACAAAAAUCAAGUGGUAACAAAUGCUAGUGGUGUUACAUCGAAAAUUAUGCAUCCUCCCGAAGAUUUGAGUUUAGAAGAGAUAAAAGCCCGCAAAAUUCAACAUAGAUUAAGUGCAAGUGGUGGUGCCUCCGCAACGAGGUCAUCCUCUACCUCAACGCCUAAUACAAGCAGUCAUGGUACGAGUAUUUACUCAUCAGCCGCAACCACAGCAACAUCAACGUCUUCCACGACGACAUCGCAAGCCGCAUCAGCUGCUGCCACUGCAGCGGCCAUAUCAAAGGCACAGGAAGCUGCUACUAUGGUUGCUGUGGCUCAGGCUCAGGCCCAGGCACAAGCUCAGGCCCAAGCGCAAGCUCAAGCCCAGGCUCAAGCUCAGGCCCAAGCGCAAGCACAAGCUCAGGCUCAAGUUCAAGCACAAGUACAAGCUGCCCAGGUUCAGGCACAAGUUGCUCAUGCCCAAGCCCAAGUUGUUCAGGCGGUUGCCGCUCAACAACAGCAACAUCAAAAACAACUACAAGAUCUCAAUCGUGCUGUCAUGAUACAACGCAUGCAGGCCCAAGCAGCCGUUGAUGCUGCUGUCGCUGCUCAUGUUGCUCGUCCCGCUGGCCCAGCUGCUGCAGCAGUUGGUAUGAUGCAAUUACCCGGUCAAAUGCAAUUAGUACAACCCAUGAUGCGACCUGCAAUGGCAAUUGCAGCCCAUCAUCCCCAUCAUCCUGCUUUACUUGGUGGUAAUUUAUUGAGAGCACCCUCAGGUAUACCAGGAAUGCCAGCAGGUCUUUUAGGUCCUAUGCAAGCAAUACCUAUGGCCGGAAUGCCAGGUGCAAUACCCGGUAUGGGGGUUAUGUUGCCAGGAAAUCACAUGUUACAAAUGAUGCCACGUUUUCGGUGAUCAUAUCCAACAGGACAACUAUGUCUAGCGCCCGUUGCAAACGUGCCUAUGUCAUCAAUCCUUUAUCGAGACUACAAAGAUUAAUUCAGAAACAAAGCACUAAUGGACAACAGCACUUUUUUUUAACCACUUUCCACCAGCAACGUUUACCAGAUGUAUGCUCGCGUUUUAGCUGACAGGAAGCCAACGCAAAUUUUCUCUUAAGAAGCCAACAUUGUUUUUACUGCAAACAAAUGAACAAAAAGGCUGAUUUCUUAUUAGCAAAAAAAAAAACUUCUUAAAGUUUGAACAAAACAAUGAACACAACCAAACUUUAAAGCGUUAGUAUUAUAAUUAAAAACAUAAAUAUAUACAAAAAAAGAAAAAGAAAACCAAAAUGAAAGGGUAAAUAUUAAAUUUAAUAUUAUAAACGUUUGCAAUAUAAAAUAAUUAAAUUACUACAUUUACUACAAAUAAUAAGGAUAAGGGUGAUUGAUAUAUGCCAAAUUUAUUUAUAUCUACUACAAACACAUAUUAUUACUCUAAACAAUAUUUAAUAUUUAUGUUUUAAUAUUUUCUUUAUAUUGUUUUUUAAUAUUUCAUUUUUGAACAUUUGUCCUACCGCCACAUACAUACAUAUUUCUUUAUAUAUUAUUUUACUCUUAAUAUAUAAUAGUUUAAAUACAUAAUUUGUAUACAUUAAAAAGUUUUCUCAUAUUAUGUACUAACUAACCCCUUAAUUACAAAUCACAAUUUGUUUAAACUACUGCUGUACAGUUCACAUUAAUAACCUAUCAUACACCUCCUCCGCCUAUCUAUUUUAGUCAACACCAUUGUCUGUAAACCCCAUUUUCUGAACAUUAAUAUCCAUUUUGUUUUAUUUUAUAAAGCUUUUUUGGUUUAAUUCUCUUUUAGUUUCCCUCUCUCUCUCUUUUUAAACCUUCUUUUGUAUUUGUGUGUUCUUUAUCUCUUUUUUAGUUUUUGUAUUGUAAAUUUGUUUUAUGCCACAUAUUUCCCCCACUAUUUUUCCUUAAUAAUAAAUAAAUUACAUAGCUUUAUGUCUAAUAAUUAAUAUGAUUGUUUUUUUGUUUGAUUUUUGAAGAUUUUUUAAUUUUAAAUCUAAAUAUUUUUAUGAAAAAGAAAAUGUGCGAAAAUGUAUGAAAUGCAAUUGUUAAGUUAAAGUUGAUUGUUUGGCUCUGGCAUUGGUUCUCUUUAAUACUUCAUUGGAAACUACUCUUGUAAGCCUUGCAAGUCUAGCAACUUGAUUUAAUAAAACAUAUGAAUAACUAUCAAUUGCCACAUUUGAUGAAAUUUAAAAAAAAUUGUUAAAAUAUGUCUGGGAAACUUGAUCUAAUGAAAUUUAAGUUCUCCUUUACACAUUCUUGGAAACUACUAUUGUAAACCUUGCAGGUCUGGAAGCAAGAUCUAAAUUUUUGAAAUGAUUCUAGAACAUAACAUAGCAAGGGUACUGUACCAUAAAAAGGUGCACUUUCACUCGAAGACCAUAAGGAGCAUUGUGAUUCCUAUUCAUAGAGAUACAGACUAAAAGAAAACAAGAAAGAACGAAAUACAAUAGAUAGAGUGAAGAUUUGAAUGUACACAAGUCUAUUCGCAAAGGGAUUUCAAACCAGAAACAUUAACAAGUAAAUUCCCUAAGUAAAAUUCCCCUGAUAAAAGCGAGUAGAUCGUCAGGGUUGGGGAUGUUUCUUUUACCACAUAAAUGUUAAAUGACGAGAGUGCUUGUGUGCUUUUGUUCUCAUUUUAAAUUUCCUUGAAAACUACUCUUGUAAACCAUUAAAUCCUUGAAACAACUCUCAGUACUUAGAGGAUGACAUUUGCAUGUAAUGCAUUGUAUUGGCACUAGGAAAAAGGUUGUACCAGGUAGAAUGAUGUAGUGUAUGUGUACAUUCCAUUAAAGCCCUCUCAUAUUGCAAGUGAAAAGAAAUGCUACUUUAGGAAGUUUGUUUCACAUGCGGACAGUUCGACCAAAGAAUUGUUUUAUAAUUCUAGGAAAUAAAAUGUAUAAAAAGGUGCACCUUCAUUCGGAGACCAUAAGACUAUAUUGUGAUUCCCUUUCUAGAAUGUAAAGAUCAAAAGAUAGAGAAAACAUAAACACUAGAAGAAAACAAGAAAGAAGGAAAAGGGAGGAUAGAUGCUGUAGUGUUUGCAAGUAACAGAAAAGACUUCUGGCUGACGUUUAGUUUAAGAAAAGUUAUGCACCACAAAACGGUGUACGGAGACCAUAAGACCAUAUUGCCAUUGCCUUAUAGAGAGUGAAGUCAAAAGAUAGAGAAACAAAAACACUAGAAGAAAACAAGAAAAUAGGUAAAGAGGAGAGAUAAAUUUAAACAGUUCUAUUAAAAAGAAUACUAAAGAAUGAAAUAUGAAAGAUUUUAGUCUCGUUAUAAAACCCAAUAGGAGAAUGAAUAAAUUCUUUUUUAAAACUUAUUAGAUGGCGAGCGUUAAAUCCCGCAAUUUCCCCCCAUAUCGUCAUGGAAUCUAUUUCCUUUUUAUUUCACCCGAAAUUUCGUAUUAUAAGACUGUCAUCUCUAGUUCCUCUGCAUCUUGGCAUUACCUGAUAUAGUCCGGUAAAUUACAGUUCUACUUAUUGACCACUUAGAUCCCCAAUUUAGCAAUGCCUCGUUAGCAUGCCUAGCAGAAUACUUAGACUGUUUUUAUCCAGUCCUAUAAAUAUUCUGGUAGCCCUAAUAUCAAGUGUUGACCAUAAUGCCUUCGAUAUUUUGCAAUUCAUUCUACUAUUCCAGGGCCGGUUAAAGAUCAUGACGGAUUAUCUCGAACUUUAGUUUGAAUUAUUUUAAAUUGUUGCAGUUUAAAGAUUACACAGGCCGACAAAAUUUGCAGUUAAUCAAAACUCUGAGACAAAGUUUUGAUUCAGUGAGUAAUCUCGAACAAGAAUGAAGAUAUGUCAGAGUUAUUUUAAAGCUUACAGAAUAGACUUUCAGAUUCCAUACAACAUAUUGCAAAUAAAGUUAACUACAACUAACAUUACAACUAACAACAAAGUCUUAAGGAUUUUAGUGAAAAGUGUUGUUGUUUUUAUACCCUACACCACCUUAGUGAGGAGGGUAUAUUGGGUUUGUGCUGAUGUUUGUAACGCACAAUAUUAUUGGUCCUAUACCCUAUAUAAAGUAUACCAAUCGGC